GGGUUGUGAGGUUAAGCGACUAAGCGUACACGGUGGAUGCCCUGGCAGUCAGAGGCGAUGAAGGACGUGCUAAUCUGCGAUAAGCGUCGGUAAGGUGAUAUGAACCGUUAUAACCGGCGAUUUCCGAAUGGGGAAACCCAGUGUGUUUCGACACACUAUCAUUAACUGAAUCCAUAGGUUAAUGAGGCGAACCGGGGGAACUGAAACAUCUAAGUACCCCGAGGAAAAGAAAUCAACCGAGAUUCUCCCAGUAGCGGCGAGCGAACGGGGAGCAGCCCAGAGCCUGAAUCAGUGUGUGUGUUAGUGGAAGCGUCUGGAAAGGCGCGCGAUACAGGGUGACAGCCCCGUACACAAAAAUGCACAUGCUGUGAGCUCGAUGAGUAGGGCGGGACACGUGGUAUCCUGUCUGAAUAUGGGGGGACCAUCCUCCAAGGCUAAAUACUCCUGACUGACCGAUAGUGAACCAGUACCGUGAGGGAAAGGCGAAAAGAACCCCGGCGAGGGGAGUGAAAAAGAACCUGAAACCGUGUACGUACAAGCAGUGGGAGCACGCUUAGGCGUGUGACUGCGUACCUUUUGUAUAAUGGGUCAGCGACUUAUAUUCUGUAGCAAGGUUAACCGAAUAGGGGAGCCGAAGGGAAACCGAGUCUUAACUGGGCGUUAAGUUGCAGGGUAUAGACCCGAAACCCGGUGAUCUAGCCAUGGGCAGGUUGAAGGUUGGGUAACACUAACUGGAGGACCGAACCGACUAAUGUUGAAAAAUUAGCGGAUGACUUGUGGCUGGGGGUGAAAGGCCAAUCAAACCGGGAGAUAGCUGGUUCUCCCCGAAAGCUAUUUAGGUAGCGCCUCGUGAAUUCAUCUCCGGGGGUAGAGCACUGUUUCGGCAAGGGGGUCAUCCCGACUUACCAACCCGAUGCAAACUGCGAAUACCGGAGAAUGUUAUCACGGGAGACACACGGCGGGUGCUAACGUCCGUCGUGAAGAGGGAAACAACCCAGACCGCCAGCUAAGGUCCCAAAGUCAUGGUUAAGUGGGAAACGAUGUGGGAAGGCCCAGACAGCCAGGAUGUUGGCUUAGAAGCAGCCAUCAUUUAAAGAAAGCGUAAUAGCUCACUGGUCGAGUCGGCCUGCGCGGAAGAUGUAACGGGGCUAAACCAUGCACCGAAGCUGCGGCAGCGACACUAUGUGUUGUUGGGUAGGGGGAGCGUUCUGUAAGCCUGUGAAGGUGUGCUGUGAGGCAUGCUGGAGGUAUCAGAAGUGCGAAUGCUGACAUAAGUAACGAUAAAGCGGGUGAAAAGCCCGCUCGCCGGAAGACCAAGGGUUCCUGUCCAACGUUAAUCGGGGCAGGGUGAGUCGACCCCUAAGGCGAGGCCGAAAGGCGUAGUCGAUGGGAAACAGGUUAAUAUUCCUGUACUUGGUGUUACUGCGAAGGGGGGACGGAGAAGGCUAUGUUGGCCGGGCGACGGUUGUCCCGGUUUAAGCGUGUAGGCUGGUUUUCCAGGCAAAUCCGGAAAAUCAAGGCUGAGGCGUGAUGACGAGGCACUACGGUGCUGAAGCAACAAAUGCCCUGCUUCCAGGAAAAGCCUCUAAGCAUCAGGUAACAUCAAAUCGUACCCCAAACCGACACAGGUGGUCAGGUAGAGAAUACCAAGGCGCUUGAGAGAACUCGGGUGAAGGAACUAGGCAAAAUGGUGCCGUAACUUCGGGAGAAGGCACGCUGAUAUGUAGGUGAAGUCCCUCGCGGAUGGAGCUGAAAUCAGUCGAAGAUACCAGCUGGCUGCAACUGUUUAUUAAAAACACAGCACUGUGCAAACACGAAAGUGGACGUAUACGGUGUGACGCCUGCCCGGUGCCGGAAGGUUAAUUGAUGGGGUUAGCCGCAAGGCGAAGCUCUUGAUCGAAGCCCCGGUAAACGGCGGCCGUAACUAUAACGGUCCUAAGGUAGCGAAAUUCCUUGUCGGGUAAGUUCCGACCUGCACGAAUGGCGUAAUGAUGGCCAGGCUGUCUCCACCCGAGACUCAGUGAAAUUGAACUCGCUGUGAAGAUGCAGUGUACCCGCGGCAAGACGGAAAGACCCCGUGAACCUUUACUAUAGCUUGACACUGAACAUUGAGCCUUGAUGUGUAGGAUAGGUGGGAGGCUUUGAAGUGUGGACGCCAGUCUGCAUGGAGCCGACCUUGAAAUACCACCCUUUAAUGUUUGAUGUUCUAACGUUGACCCGUAAUCCGGGUUGCGGACAGUGUCUGGUGGGUAGUUUGACUGGGGCGGUCUCCUCCUAAAGAGUAACGGAGGAGCACGAAGGUUGGCUAAUCCUGGUCGGACAUCAGGAGGUUAGUGCAAUGGCAUAAGCCAGCUUGACUGCGAGCGUGACGGCGCGAGCAGGUGCGAAAGCAGGUCAUAGUGAUCCGGUGGUUCUGAAUGGAAGGGCCAUCGCUCAACGGAUAAAAGGUACUCCGGGGAUAACAGGCUGAUACCGCCCAAGAGUUCAUAUCGACGGCGGUGUUUGGCACCUCGAUGUCGGCUCAUCACAUCCUGGGGCUGAAGUAGGUCCCAAGGGUAUGGCUGUUCGCCAUUUAAAGUGGUACGCGAGCUGGGUUUAGAACGUCGUGAGACAGUUCGGUCCCUAUCUGCCGUGGGCGCUGGAGAACUGAGGGGGGCUGCUCCUAGUACGAGAGGACCGGAGUGGACGCAUCACUGGUGUUCGGGUUGUCAUGCCAAUGGCACUGCCCGGUAGCUAAAUGCGGAAGAGAUAAGUGCUGAAAGCAUCUAAGCACGAAACUUGCCCCGAGAUGAGUUCUCCCUGACUCCUUGAGAGUCCUGAAGGAACGUUGAAGACGACGACGUUGAUAGGCCGGGUGUGUAAGCGCAGCGAUGCGUUGAGCUAACCGGUACUAAUGAACCGUGAGGCUUAACCUUACAACGCCGAAGGUGUUU
rnacentral:rRNA from 1 species